UUGAAUACAUUUGUCCAGCUAUUACACCAUAGUUUGUCUUGUUUUUAUCAGUAUGACACAACUUUAUUGUGUCUCUACGCCCUUCUUUGAGAUGUGCAAGACUAUCGUCUUUAAAAAAUGUCUACAUAGAGUGACAGAUAAAUGUAGUAGUAAGUCAGCAGUAAAGUAAGAAAGUUAACAGUAGCAGCAUCAGGUUGCUGUGGAACAUUGAGUACUGCGUGGGCUGGGCUGCACCGUCUUUCUUGAUUCUUCCACGUGAUUGGUUAGUAGUGUAAAUUAAGGGACUGGCGGCAUUUAAAUAACAUUACAUCCUUGAGUUGACCACAUUUGUUUUUGAUUGAUGUUGAUCAAUUAAUGUCAAAAAGAGCAUCAUGUGCAGCUAGCAUGCAGGCACUGUGGUUACUCGAAUUUUUGGAUUGGUAUUUUAACUAUUGCUUAGAACAUUUUCUCUUAUUUACGUAUUUUUAAUGCAUCAUUUCAAAAUGUAUGAAAUUUGUAUUUGAAUGUUUUUUUCUUUAGAAUUUUUAAUCCGAUUCUUGCAUUUAUUUUAAAAAGUGCGGUGUUGUUUAAAUAUUUGAACAUUUUUCAGAGUAUUGUUUUAUUCUGAAAACCAACAUUUCUUUAAGUUGAACUUUUUCCUGGCCACACCAAUGUUCAACAAAGACAAAUCUACAGACAAAAAGUUUCGAAUGAUUUUCUCUCUCUCACGAGUUGGAGGAGUCGAAUCUGUCGACACCAUGCGACCAACUCUUAGCACUGCACUUAACCCUCUGGGCUGCGUGUCCCAUUGAUAAGUAUGUUCCCUGCUCGAUUGAGGAGAUUUUCCCCCCUCCCACGCCCCGAACUGUCCUGCGUAUGUGUACUCAGUGACGUCACGUAUAUUUAUCCCAUUGGCUCUUGUUUUCCCUGAGGACGGCGAUGGUCGUGCUGGGGAGGGGGUCAAAGGAAAGAAAGUAAGACUGACGUGUAUUUUUUAUGAUGUGCGCGUGCGCGUCCACGCAUCGUGUACAGUUGGCCCACAGGCAGGGCUAAAAAUAGCACCAACCGAUGCGACGGGCGCAGCCCUUUUGCUCGCCCUUUCCUUUCCCUCUCCUCACUUUUUCUCGGAAUCACCUUUUAUUGGGUCACCCUUUCCACUUACUACAACCCCAACUCCCAUCCUUAGCAUUGACUGUCACUGACGGUGAUGGACGUCCAAUAUUUUUGGACAGGGAGUAUUGGUUUAGUGAAUGAUCACGUUUCAGUACCAUUGACGGCAAUGGACGUCCAGUCCAUUUUGACUGGGUGGGUCAAAAUGUAUUAGACUUCCAUGGCCGUCAGUGGCAGUAAAUGAGUUAAAGAAAGAGAGAAUUCAUUGCUUACAUUGUGUGGUUUUUAUGUUUUGUUGUUAAAAAAAAAAAAAAAAAAAAAAAAAAAAAAGCCUAUAUAUCGUUUACACAAGGAAGACACAUUGUCUAUAUCUUUAUAAAAGCAGAUCAAAAUAUCACAUGAUGUCCAUGUGAUAUUAGUUUUUUUUUCCACACACGCAGGAGGGCAGCAGCAAGCAGCAUCUUUCCACGCAGGCUCCACGGGGCGGAGAAAAAAAAGAGAUUCUGAACGUGACGUCAAUGCCUAGAGGUGGACCCGAAGGCAGCACGGUUAAAUGGAAAAUAUAAGCACCGGUCCAGGACGAGGAGCCUGAUACAGUCUUGUAGAGGUGACCCAUCAUGUGCGUGUUUUGGAGAGACCUCCUCCUUCUCCCCCAAAGAGGAAGGAAGAACGUGUCGGGUGAAGUAGAGGAGGGGUGACGGGUAGAUACCUCAAAGAGUGACGUCAAUCCCCUGGACCACAUGCUCUCCAGCUUCCCUUUGUUCUCAGCAUGCUGCCAAGACGAACCACGUGUCAAGGGGAACUCUUAAUUUUUUUGUAACAAAAAUAAGGAACCCCCCCCCCUUUUUUUUUGCCCUAGCCCCCCCCCCCCCUUUUUUUUUUUUUUGCCCUAGCGUGUUUGUGUGUCUGUGUGUUACACUUCUGUGUUCUCAACAUUUUACAUAUACAGUAUUUGUACAUUAUAUACAAAAGUUUCCGUUAUGAAGGUGAGGUCACGUGUUAUAUUGUCCUGUGACAGAGCAACUUUAUUCAGUGUCUAUCAGCAUGUGUGUGCGCACACGAACUGUGGUUUCAUUCGCGUGCACGCUCGCACUUUUGACGCAUAUUGCGAACCGACGCGCGUGCAUGACACCCAUGCAUCCACAUUUUUGUAGUCUUGCACUGUCGCAGACUACGUGGCAGUCUUCACAUGACGGCGUCAAAGCUCAUAUCACCUGUAUUUUACGUUUAGUUUGUGCGCGUGCUUGUGUCUACUUGUGUGCGUUAGGAAUGGAGAAAAAAAUUUAUAUAAACGGUGAACACGUGCAUGAUCCAAACAGCGUGUUUGUACAAUAAUGUAAUGUAAAAAUAAAAGAAAAAGUA